GACGAACGCUGGCGGCGUGCUUAACACAUGCAAGUCGAACGGAAAGGCCCAGCUUGCUGGGUACUCGAGUGGCGAACGGGUGAGUAACACGUGGGUGAUCUGCCCUGGACUCUGGGAUAAGCCUGGGAAACUGGGUCUAAUACCGGAUAUGACCUUACAUCGCAUGGUGUUUGGUGGAAAGCUUUUGCGGUUCAGGAUGGGCCCGCGGCCUAUCAGCUUGUUGGUGGGGUAAUGGCCUACCAAGGCGACGACGGGUAGCCGACCUGAGAGGGUGAUCGGCCACACUGGGACUGAGACACGGCCCAGACUCCUACGGGAGGCAGCAGUGGGGAAUAUUGAACAAUGGGAGCAAGCCGGAGGCAGCGACGCCGCGUGAGGGAUGACGGCCUUCGGGGUGUAAACCUCUUUCACCAGGGACGAAGCGUGAGUGACGGUACCUGGAGAAGAAGCACCGGCCAACUACG
rnacentral:rRNA from 1 species